GUUGUACUCCCUUCAUUUGAAAAUACUUGUCCGAUGAAUGAAUGUAUCUAGACAUAUUUUAGUUCUACGUUCAAUCAUUUGUAUCCAUUUCUACGGCAAGUAUUUUCAGACGGAAGGAGUAUUAA
rnacentral:pre_miRNA from 1 species